rnacentral:rRNA from 1 species
AUACGGAGGGUGCAAGCGUUGUUCGGAAUUAUUGGGCGUAAAGAGCAUGUAGGCGGACUAUUAAGUCUGGUGUGAAAGCCCGGGGCUCAACCCCGGAAGUGCAUUGGAUACUGGUAGUCUUGAGUAUGGGAGAGGAAAGUGGAAUUCCGAGUGUAGGAGUGAAAUCCGUAGAUAUUCGGAGGAACACCAGUGGCGAAGGCGGCUCUCUGGACCAAUACUGACGCUGAGAUGCGAAAGCGUGGGGAGCGAACAGGAUUAGAAACCCUAGUAGUCC